rnacentral:SRP_RNA from 1 species
GAGAGGUUGGCGCGGGCAGGCACCUCGCCAACCCGGUCAGGUCCGGAAGGAAGCAGCCGUAACGAGCCCCGCUUGGG